CGCGCGCGCACACACACACACACACCCCAAAUCUUAUUUUUCCAUCAUAUGCUGAUGGACAUUUAGGUUGCUUCCAUGUCUUGCCUAUUAUAAGUAGUGCUGCAAUGAACACUGGAAUGCACCUAUCUUUUCAAAUUAAAGUUUUCUCCGAAUAUAUGCCCAGGUGUGGGACUGCAGGAUCCUAUGGUAGCUCUAUUUUUAGUUUUUUAAAGAACCUCCAUACUGUUCUCAAUAGUGGCUGUACCAAUUUACAUUCUCACCAACAGUGCAGGAGGGUUCCCUUUUCUCCACACCCUUUCUAGCACUAGUUUCGUAGACUUUUUGAUGAUGGUCAUUCUGACCAGUAUGAGCUGAUACCUCGUUUAGUUUUAUUUGCAUUUUUCUAAUAAUUCGCAAUGUUGAGCAUCUUUUCAUGUGCCUUUCAACCAUUAAAAUAAAAAGUUUAUUGAGGAGCUCCUGUCACGGCUCAGAGGAAACAAAUCUGACUAGAAUCCAUCAGGAUUCAGGUUCCAUCCCUGGCCUCACUCAGUGGGUUAAGGAUCUGGCAUUGCCAUGAGCUGUGGUGUAGGUCACAGACACGGCUUACAUCUGGCAUUGCUGCAGCUGUGGCGUAGGUAGGCAGCUACAGCUCCAAUUCGACCCCUAGCCUGGGAAUCUCCAUAUGCCGAAGGUGCAGCAACAUGGAUGGAAAUAGAGACUCUCAUACUAAGUAAGGUCAGUCAGAAAGAAAAAGACAACUACCAUAUGAUAUCACUUAUAUUGGGAAUCUAACACACGGCACUAAUGAACCUUUCCAUAGAAAAGAAACUCAGGGACUUGAAGAACAGACUUGUGGUUGCUGAGGGGGAGGGAGUGGGAUGGACUGGAAAUUUGGGGUUAACUGAUGCAAAUUAUCGCCUUUGGAAUGGACAAGCAAUGAGCCCCUGCUGUAUCUGGGAACUGGGAACUAUAUCUAGUCACUUAUGAUGGAGCAUGACAAUGUGAGAAAAAGAAUGUAUAUACGUAUGUGUGACUGGGUCACCUUGCUGUACAGAACACCAUAAAACAGUUAUCAUGGAAAAAAUAAACAUCAUUUUAAAAAAAGAAAAAAUUCAUUCACAAAUUAUUCAUAGCAGUGUUAUUCUUAACAGCCAAAAAGAGAAAAUGAUACAAAUACCAACUGAUGAAUGGAUAAACAAAAUAUGGUAUACCCAUAUAAUGGAGUAUUAUUCACCCACGGAAAAGAAUGUUGAGCUAAGGACAUUAUGAAAUUCAGAUUUUUUAAAUCCUUUGUAGGAGAAAUGGAAAGAGAUUGUGACCAACUUAAACAGAAACAAAGUAGUGGAAACAUGCCAAAGAGACAAGAAAGCAACAGAUAGAAGGACCUUUUUUCACUGUGUUCAGAGCAAGAACAGGGAAGGCCAAGCCGACUGAUCAGGGCAGAUGGUGUGCUCCUGUAGGAUGACAGGAAGAAGGCAGAAGGUGUCAAAAAAAGUAGCUUCCAUUCUAUCUACCAAGCAUCACUACUAGGACACUGAUUAGACAGUCAGCUCAUCAAUGCAACCAUGAAAGUAAAAAGGGCAAGAUUACUCCAUCUACAGAGUAGAAAAUGGGUAUGUGCAAAGUUCACCACAGAGUGGUAGGUUCAAAAUUAGAAUAUGGAUUCUUAUCAAUAUUCUAUAGUCUGUCUGAUGAGAUAAACAAACUGUUUUGAGAACUGAUGAUCUCUAUGGAAAAUCUAAAUCUGUAUUUUAUAAACACCCCUCUCUAAGAAAAAAGAAAUCCUAAUUCCAUGAUUUGGGGAGACCAUGUAACUUAAGAAAAGCCGACUUGGAUGAUUUAUAAAUAAAUUCUAGUAAGUCACACAAACCACUGUCAAAAAACAGAACUGUGUUAGGUCUCAAAUUCAGCAGUGAUUAACCUGGGGCAAAUGAUUUUACCUCUGAGCAUCAGUUCCAAAUGGGCUUCCUAUGGAGGAUUAAAUGAGAGAGCACAUGUAAAGCAAUUAGCAUACCUGACACAAAGCAAAUCUUUGAUAAACGUUAGCUGUUAUUGCUCUUAUUGAUAAUUUGACAGAAGAAUAAUAUGUGCAGUUUACAAAAGUGAGAAAAAACGGUUUCUGCUAAAGUAAUACAGACAAAAUUAAUCAAAGAUACAGACCUUUCAUAAAUAUGAAUGCAGUAACCCAGAAGGAUCUACUCUGGGUCACACUGUUGUCUCCAUAUAUUUCCACUGACACUUGGGUUUUGAAAAAUACCAAACUCUUUUUAUGUCUUUGUUUUCCAAAUAAGAGUAAAUCCAGAAAAUAAGAAGAGCACCGAGAAAUGUAUCACCAGGGGAAAGGAAUCACCUGGGAGGCAUGGCAAGCCUUUGAAGUCAGAUGGACAGGGUUGUUCAAACCCCAGCUUUACCACUGACCAACUCUGAAAUUUGGGAAAAAGGACUUUCGCCUCUGAGCCUUGGUUUCUUCCUUCAUUAAACUGAAACAACAAAUUCAGUCUGUUGAGAAAGUUAAAUGGAGAAGCUGCAUAUGGAGAGCCUGGCAAAGUCAGUCCUUUACCUAACUGCUUUCUAAUUCUGCAAUAUUAAAAAAAAUUUUUUUUCUUAAAAAGAACCUUCCCACACUGCUGGUGGAAAUACAAACUGAUGUAGCCACUAUGGAAAAGAGUAUAAAAUUUCCUUUAAAAACUAAAAUAGAGGAGUUCCCGUCAUGGUGCAGUGGUUAAUGAAUCCGACUAGGAACCAUGAGGUUGUGGGUUCAGUCCCUGCCCUUGCUCAGUGGGUUAAUGAUCCGGCGUUGCCGUGAGCUGUGGUGUAGGUUGCAGAUGCAGCUUGGAUCCUGAGUUGCUGUGGCUCUGGUGUCGGCCGGUGGCUACAGCUCCCAUUCGACCCCUAGCCUGGAAACCUCCAUACACCGCGGGAGUGGCCCUAAAAAGACCAAAAAAUAUAUAUAAUAAUAAUAAUAACAACAACAACUUAGGAGUUCCUGUUGUGGCACAGCAGAAACGAAUCCAACUAGGAACCAUGAGGUUGUAGGUUCGAUCCCUGGCAUCGCUCAGUGGGUUAAAGAUCCGGCAUUGCCAUGAGCUGUGGUGUAAGUCACAGACGUGGCUUGGAUCCCACAUCGCUGUGGCUGUGGCGUAGGCCAGCAGCUGUGGCUCCGAUUAGACCCCUAGCCUGGGAACCUCCAUAUGCCACAGGUGCAGCCCUAAAAAGCAAAUAAUAAUAAUUAUAAUAAUAAUAACUUGUAUGUGGAAUCUAAAAAAUAAUACAAAUGAUUUGUGAAUUCCCAUUAUGGCACAAUGUGUUAAAGAUCCCAGACUGCCACAGCUGCAGUUCAGAUUCAAUCCCUGAACCAGGAACUUCCAUAUGCCAAGUGUGCAACAACAACCAAAAAAAGGUAAGAACAAGCACAAUUUCACACACAAAGAAACAAACUUAUGGUUACCAAAGAGAGAGAGGAGGGGACAAACUAGGCAUAUCAGAUUGCACACUUAAACCACUACAUAUAAAAUAGAUAAGCAACAAGGAUUUACUGUAUAGCACAGGCAAUUAUAUUCAAUAUCUUCUAAUAAUGGAAUAUAAACUGCAAAAAAAAAAAAAAACCUGAAUCACUAUGUUGUACACCUGAAACUAACACAAUAUUGCAAAUCAACUAGACUUCCAUUAAAAAAUUAUUUUUUUCUUUCAGGCUUAAGAUGUAAGCAAUCAAAAUGACCUAGGAAAAUGUCUUCUUACAAUCAUUUGAAACUCAGUUCACAAAUUUUAUUUAGUAUCUAUUAUAUGCCAAGUUCAAUUGUGAGGCAGUAGAGAUAUAUCAGUGAACAAAAAAGACAGCCUAACUGUGGCUGCCUUUGAAAAUAUACCUAACACAUCCUUUUUGAAUGGCUAGUAACUGACUACAGCUGCAACAGCUUUAGACCCAUCACCACUCAGAUUUGUUAGUAGUAAUACUGGUAUUGUAAUAUUAAAAUUAUUUUGUGUAUAAUAUAGAAUAAAGAAAAUAGGUCAAUAUACUCGUGUGAUUAGAAACAAAAAUUUUCUUUUUUGGGGGGAGGUUUUCAAUAUUAAAGAAGGCAAAAAUAAAAACAGAAACUACAAAAUGUUACAUUUAAUUAGAAAUAUGGGAGUUCCCUGAUGGCAAAGAAGGUUAAUGGUCAAUGCUGUGGCUCUGGUUACUGCUGUGACGCAGGUUUGAUCCCUAGCCUGGGAAGCAGGAGUAACCAAAAUAAAAUAAAAAAUCAAUAAAUAGGAAAUUUAAAAAUGAACUCACAAUUUUUCAAAAAACUUAUUUCUUGGCUCCACCCACUAAAAAUGCCUUAAAGGCAAUGUAUUGUAGCAGCAAUAAACAAACCAGUGCCCAGAGCUUAAUUUGUUUUUCUUUCUCUUUCUUUUUUUUUUUUGCUUUUUUAGGGCCACACCCUCGGCAAAAUACGGAGGUUCCCAGAAAUAGCAAAAAGACAAAAAAAAAAAGAAAAGAAAAUCCAAAACACAAGUUACACUUACCAUAAGAAAACAAUAUGACCAACCCAGAAUGUGAAAUAUUCUAAAAAACAGUUGUUCAGAGCUCUUAAAAAUAAUGUCAGAAAAAGGGGAAACUGUAGGGAGGAGAGAAGGAUUAUCAUGGACUAAAAGCAACUAAAGAGACAUAAAUCUGAAUACGUUCUGGAUAUCAGAUAUUAUGAAACUAUUAUGAGUUAAUGAUUACAGGACAAUAAGUAUAUAAAGCCAAUGGGAUAAAUACAUUAACCAGUGAAUACAGAAGGUAAGUAUAGUGUUCACUGUACCAUUCUCUCAAUUUUUCAUUAUGUUUGAAAAUGUUCAUAAUAAAAAACUGAAAAUCGGCAGUCCCGUCGUGCCUCAGGGGUUAGCUAACCCGACUGGCAUACAUGAGGACAUGGGUUCGAUCCCUGGCCUUGCUCAGUGAGUUGGGGAUCCCAUGUUGCCAUGAGCUGUGGUAUAGAUUGUAGAAGCAGCUGGAUCCUGUGUGGCUGUGGCGUAGGCCGGCAGCUGUAGCUCUGAUUCAACCCCUAGCCUGGGAACCUCCAUAUGCCGCAGGUUCGGCCCUUAAAAAAAAAAAAAAA
rnacentral:lncRNA from 9 species